UACGAAGGGGGCUAGCGUUGUUCGGAAUUACUGGGCGUAAAGAGCUCGUAGGCGGUUUGUCGCGUCUGCCGUGAAAGUCCGGGGCUCAACUCCGGAUCUGCGGUGGGUACGGGCAGACUAGAGUGAUGUAGGGGAGACUGGAAUUCCUGGUGUAGCGGUGAAAUGCGUAGAUAUCCGGAGGAACACCGGUGGCGAAGGCGGCUUCCUGGACCGACACUGACGCUGAGGCGCGAAAGCUAGGGGAGCAAACGGG
rnacentral:rRNA from 1 species